GCGUGGGGCGGGUCCCGUGCUGCUGGAUAUUAAUGAGGCUCAUAAAUAACCGAGGAGCGCGGCGAGAGUGGGCGCUCCCUACGCCGAGGUUUUGAUUCUGCCCUCAACCCUGCUGAGCACUAUGACUAACAUGUCACGUGGUCUGUUCUGUCUCCAGGGUGAGAUCAAAUGAAAGAAACCUGAGAGCUGCUAAUUCCAGUCAGGGAAGAAAAGCCCAGCCUAGCAUGACCAGCAUUCAGACGUGUGUUGCCUAUCUGGACCCAAGAUGAUGGGCAAAGUGGGCAAGGGACUAAAAGGACACAAAGCUGCAAUGCAGAAGGGUUUACACUGCAGCAUCCUCAUACAAGUCAAAGCCAGCAACAAAUACACAAACAGGUAUAAUAGGUCACCCAUCACUGGAGUGCAGGGUAGUGAAACUCAGCAAGGUUCUCUCUCCCAUGACUGUCCAAGUUGCUUGUGAGCAAAUACAAAUGCUGUCUGUCCCUUGUCCCCCAUCCCAUCCACCCCUCUCUCCCCUGCCCCCAAGAGUACCAGACCUAGUGUUCAAAAAAUGAAACUCCUGGGCAGAACUAACCAAAGACCCCACUAGCAGGGAAGCUGCUGUGGCAGUUGAAGUCUGGCUCCAGUGAAGUGGUCAGGCUAUUUUACAUAGAUUUCAUUCAGCAUGCUCUUUUCAUUGACUACCUGUUUCCUUUUUCCAUUCUAUGUCUUACUCUCCGUCAGCCACGGCUCUCCUAUGUUACAUGUUUUUUAACAGCUGAAAAGCAAGGGGUUGGGGUCCCAUAGCAUAGGGUAAAUAACCGUGAUUUGGAAUUUCUGUUAUGAGCAGCAUUGACAUACGUCUCUUGUACUGAAAUAACUAGCCAAAAAGUGCAUAGUGGAUUGUUGUGGACAUUGAUUCCUUUUUUCCCUGCUCUGCAUUACCUUGAUUCCUUGCUUCCUUCCCUGCUGGAGAUGAAAGGUAUGGAACAAAAAAACCUAGGACUGUGGUCAGACUUACUGUUAUGGAGAAGAAUGUGUGAAAACCAGGGAGGAUCUUCAGCUGGCCUCAGGAAGAGAUUUGAUCAGGAAUAUGACUAGCUGUAGAGGAGGAAAACAGUGGAAUUAAUCAUUCUCUAGCUGAGAGGUAAAAGGGAGCAUGUCUGACUACAUUCAGUAUGUGGAGGAUGUGGAAAGGGAGAGGAGGACUUUGCAAAAUAUAACUACUUCAAAGCUAACUACUACCUUUUACACUCAAGUGGACGCUACUAACAGUGUCUCGGCAGGCUCUCACUCCUGACCUCAGACAAUAUACUAACAAAAUGCAGAAGUCCUAGGUGUUUAGCAGGUGCCUUGAAAUGAUGGUGUCUCAUAAUUUUAUCCAAGACAUUCCACCCUAGAGUCAAAGGGCAACAAACUGGGGUGACCCAGGGGCUCCAAGCCAUUUCCCCACGUGUCCUGCUCUGUGUCUUUGUGGCUUUGAGAAGAUUUUCCCCCUAAAGUGACUCUUCACACCUAGCAAAUCUCAGUCUAACUAAUGCCACAACUAGUCCUUGCAGCUCAGUGGGGGAAGGCUCCAUCAACUCUGAUUCUCUCAGGCCUGCAAAAGGACAGAGAUCUGCCAGUUUUGUGAGAAUGGAAUGCCCAUGGUUGUCAGCACCCCCGAAAUCACUCAGCACAAAACAAUCACUAAGGCAUAAAACAGAAUAAGAUUUAUUACAUGGGAUAGGAAGAACACCCAAGGAAAAGGAACUGUUAAACUUGGAGACAAAUAGGCAAAACAAUAGAAAUAUUUCAAUAGAAAUAUCUCUAUAUAUAAUAUUUCUAUUGAUAUAUAUUUCUAUUGAAAUAUAGACAUGUAUCUCAGUAGAAAUAGAACAAUAGAAAUAUUUGCAAAACAAUAGAAAUAUACUUCUGUCUUCUUGCUUGAAGCAGCUUCCAAAUGACUUUUGUCUUGUGUUUGCAUGAGCUAGCAAUCCUGCCAGCUUUUCUCAGCCUCCCUAUCUAGGAUCUCUCUGUCUUCUCUUAGACACCAGGAGAUAUAGAUGUAACUUCUCUAAUUGCUAUUUCCCAUCUUUCAUUUCUUGUUCUAUUGCUCAGGGUACACGUGCUCUCCUUCCCCUAGACAGACAGCUGUGACAAUUUUGUGUGUCCUUUCUGACAUGGAACUGAUAGAUUUUCCUUCUGAAAUGCAUUUGGCUGUUGUUUCAUACAUCCUCUAUUCCAUGUAAAUACUCAAAGAGUUUUGCCGCCUCUAUCUGAUAGGUAUCAGGCCAAAGCCUUUCUCAGGUAUAAAUAACCAUUGUCUAGUGAGAGUUGCUUUUGUCACCUGAGCUGACUAUAACCCUACUGACAAUUUCUUGAUUAGGUCAGAUUACAAAAGUAGAAGGAGAUACAUUCAUAUAAAAUACCAUGAUUCAUAAGAAUGCAAAUGUAGCUCUUUAGCUGUUAUAACAGGCCAAACAUGAGGGUAGCAAACCUAAUUUGAGGAAAUAUCUGUGCUUGUAUAAAUAAUGUUCCCUGAAAUUAAAAACAGCAUAAAUGUGUAACCCAUGACACAAAGCAACGUUAAUAGAAUCCGUUUCUUCAGAAUAAUUGCUUUCUUUUUCUGUUAACAAAGAGCCGCCCCCAAGUUCUGCAUUCUGAUUUUUAUGACAAUUUGGUUUGCAGUGACAGCUAGCCUACAAUAAAGUUUUUUAUUCUUUUGAAAGAUAAUUCCUCUGAUCUUUGCAAUUUCAGUAGAGUCACAGCAGGGAACAAUUUUGCUUCCCCACACAAAAUUGCCUCACUAGCCAUUCAGGAAAACAACCUCCUUGAUAAAGCUAUAAAUAUAUAAAGCACUAUAGCACUGAACCAGUGUCAAGGGUUUAAAUUCAUAAAAUUCAUUGUUGCUCUCCAUCAUCACGAACGUUCUAAAAAACCAGAGCAAGAACAUUUAACUUAGUGCUACACACCUGCUACCAUUGAUGUUCCCAGCCAUAAGUCCUCACUGCUUAACAGUAGGGGCAAGAGGCUUGGUGUGGGCGGUUCAAUCCUUGCUAUUUACUUCACCUUAGCUUCUCCAAAUACUGUGUAAAAUGUAUCAGGCAACUAUGACAACAACAAUGUUGGCCACUGAAAAAUACUUGCAAGGAAGCCAUCUUUAGUUGUCAGCCUCCCAAAGGCUACUCCAACCAGUCCUAUGUUAGUAGAAUUCUACUACAGAUGGAACAACCUGGAUCAUUUUGGUCUGGGGAUAGCUCCAUAACACUGGGCAUGGAAACACGACUCAUGUCUAGGCAGUGGGGAGUGGGAAUACAAUUUGGCUUUUCCCAAUUUUGAAUAGCUGAGAAACUUGAAAGUUGCUUCAUAUGCUUUGCCUAGACACUCCUGACCUCCUGCUGGGUCAGGAAAAGUUUAAUGAGGAGUUCCAGGGAAAUAUUUUUCCUCAUCCUUCUGGUUGUCCUGGAUCUUGAGAACAGCAUGACUGCUGUUCGUAAUGAAGGGAAAGAAUCUCUCUACUGAGAUUAAUUUUUGAGGACAGAGAGAGUUCAGCUUUCCACCCCUUUAUUUGGGUCAGGCUAAAUGACCUUUGCCCUCCCUUGCAAUCCUAAGGUUUUGUCCCACUGAGCUAAAGCUGUUGGCCAGCUCAGAAACUGUGACCCACGUGGGCACUUUAAUUCCCUAUUCAAAUAUACAUCUAGAUAUCUGACUGGUGGCGGGGAGGCCUGUCUUCCAGUUCAGUGUCCCACCCUUGUCUUCUCUAGAAGCUCCCUGAAACACCUUCUUGGGCACCUUUGCAGCUAUUUCAUAUUACAUUUAAGUCAAGAUUGAUGAUGAUGAAAAUGGGGGAAAAGGCAGGAUGGCUAAUAGGAAUUCAUAGAUUUCAUAGACGUUAGGGCUGGAAGGGACCUCGAAGAUCAUCAAGUCCAGCCCUCUACCCCAGGGGCAGGAAGUCAGCUAGGGUCAAAGAAUCCCAGCAAGAUAAACAUCCAAAUGUUUCUUGAAUGAGUCCAGAGUAGGUGCCUCCACCACUUCUGGAGAGAGUCUAUUCCAGGUCUUGGGUGCUUGGACAGUAAAUAAUUUUUUUAUGUCCAGCCUAAACCAGUCUUGGAGGAGUUUAUGACCGUUGGUCCUGUUUUUUCCUUGGGAUGCUCUGGUGAACAGACAUUCUCCCAGAUCCUAAUGUUACACCCCUUAUAUACUUAUAGGCAGCCACCAGGUCCCCCCUGAGCCUGCACUUUUCCAGACUGAAGAGUUCCAUGGCUCUCAGCCUCUCUUCAUAAGGCCUAUUCUUUUGCCCUCUGAUCAUGCACAUGGCUCUCCUCUGGACUCUCUCAAGCUUCUCAACAUCAUUCUUGAAUUGCGGAGCCCAGAAUUGGAUACAGUACUCCAGCUGCAGCCUCACCAAGGUCAAGUACAGCGGGAGGAUGACAUCCUGACAUUUACUUGAGAAGCAUCUAUGGAUGCAAACCAGGGUUUUGUUUGCUUAACCAGCUGGGACAUUGCAUUGGUGACUCAUGUUCAUCUUGUGGUCAAUCAUGACCCCCAAGUCUCUUACAGCAGUGGUGCUAGCAAGUGUAGCACUGCCUAUAAGCAUGCUAUGGGGGGUUUUUUCCCCGAAGUGGAGUACCUUAUGUUUAUUGGUAUUGAAUGUCAUCAGGUUUGUAUCUGCCCACUUACUAAGUUUAUCCAAGUCAGCCUGGAUCACUAACCUGUCCUCAGGCGUGGACGCUAUGCCCCAACAUUUAGUGUCAUCAGCGAACUUAGCCAGCGUACUUCUGACACCAAUGUCCACAUCAUUGAUAAAGAUGUUAAAGAGAACCUGUCCAAGGACAGAGCCUUGGGGGACACCACUGGUCAUGGAGCACCAUAAUGAUUCGCUACCAUCGACCACUACUCUCUGGGUCCGACCUCGGAGUCAAUUUCCCAGCCAUUGGACUGUGGUGUAGCUGAGGCCACAGUUGGCCAAUUUUUCCAUGAGGAGGUCAUGGGACACCAGAUUUUUUAAAGUUCAGAUAUAUGACAUCAAUCUCUUCUCCCUUGUUCAGGUAAUGUGUCACCUACUCAUAGAAGGAAAUGAGAUUGGUCAAGCAACACCUACCUGUGACAAACCCGCGCUGGCUAUCCCUCAGGAUGUUACCCUCAGCUAGCUUAUCCAGAAGGGUCUCCUUGAUAAUUUUCGCCAGAAUCUUACUAGGGAUUGAGGUCAAGCUGAUUGGCCUGUAAUUCCCAGGAUCUACUUUCUGCCCUUUCUUGAAGAUGGGUACCAUGUUGGCCUUCUUCCAGUCUUCAGGUACUUCACCUGAGUGCCACAAGUUUUCGAAUAUUUUUGCCAAUGGUUGAGCUAUGACACCGACCAGCUCCUUGAGUACUGUAGGAUGUAAUCUGUAAGGACCAGCUGACUUGAAGGCGUCCAGCCUCUCAAGGUGAUCCUUUACUAGAUCAACACCGAUGCUGGGUAUACAUGUGCCCUCACCCUGGCCGUCCCUCUUCUUGCUAGGCAGGGCGGUUCCAUUGGACUAAUGAAAGACCGACGCAAAGUACCCAUUAAGCAGACUGGCCUUUUCCUGGGUGUCAGUUAUCAGCUGUCCUGUUUGGUUCAGCAGGAGUCCAGUGUUACCCUUGCCUUUUUUCUGACUCCCUACAUAUCUGAAAAAGGACUUUUUGUUAUCCUUGAUAUGUGAAGCCAGAUGGAACUCAGUUGCAGCCUUGGCUUUCCUGGUCUGCUCCCUGCAGGUAUGGACCAGUGCUGAGUACUCCUCCUUGGUGGUAAUUCCAGCCUUCCAUCCUUUAUAAGUCUCUCUUUUGAGGUGUAGGAGGUCAAGUUCCCUGCUGAGCCCUUUUGCUACCCUUCCUCGAGAUGGGAUGGCCAUCCCUUGUGCUGUCAGGAUCACUCCCUUGAGGAGCAACCACUCCUCUUGGACUCCUCUUUUUGUUGAGUCGUGGUCCCUUAGGGCCUUGACAACGAGCCUCCUGAGCUUGUCAAAGUCAGCUUUCCUGAAGUCGAGGACUUCUGUAUUGCUGACUGACUUACCAUCUUUGCAGUGGAUAGUAAAGGUGAUCAGCUUGUGCUCACUAUCACCCAGUUUUCCAUCGAUUCUUAGGUCACUAACUGUCAUCCCCUUUGGCCGGUACCAGGUCCAGCAACGCUUUACCUCUCAUUGGCCCAUACACUUCUUGAGUCAGGUAGAGCUUAUCCACGCAUGUGAGGAAGUUUUGCGACUGAUUUAGCCGAGCGCUCUUCCCAUGAGAUGUCCGGGUAGUUAAAGUAUCCCAUGACAACCAGGCACCAAGAGUGUGCAGCUUCAGCCAGUUCCCUGGCGAAUUCGUGGUCCAUGAAUUCAAAAUUGCCACCUCCAUGGUGAAAGCUAACAGCAAAGCUAAUGAGCUGAAGUCAGGAGGUCUGGGCAAUCUCCUUUUCAGAUUUCUACAAAAUUUUCUGCAUGCAAAACUCCAGGGCUAGUAGCAGAGGUUCUUGCAAUAUCUAUCAUAUUGGAGGUAGCACAGUAUGAAUGGAGAAUAGCAAACAUAGUAGCCAUAUUUAAAUAAGGGGCGGGAAGGGAGCCGCGCACAAAUGGAGACUAGUGAUAUGCUGCUCGACAGGCUUCCACUCCCAUUCUCCUUAAACAGUACUUUAGCCCAUAAAAUGCAGGAGGCUUAAUGUUGAAGUGAUCUGGGCAACUAUAGCCCCGUUAGUCUGACUUCAAUAGCAUGAAAGACUUUAAACCAAAUCUUUAAGGAAAGAAAAAUUAAAUAUCUUGAGGGAAAUGGAAAAUGGGAUAAAAUGCAAAAUAGGUUUACUAAGGAUAUGUCAUGCCAGAUUAACCUCGUAUUUUUCUUUAACAGCUGUUUUUUAGACAAGGGAAAUGCAGCUGAUUUAAUCUAUCUGGACUCCAGUGAAGCGUUUGGUGUCAUGCUAUGUGAGGAAUUAUAACUUAAGGAGAAGAGGGUGGGGACUAGUGCAAGAACUGCAGGGUAUAUGAGACUCCAGCUGUGAGAGAGACAACAUCAGCAUAUGCUGAAAGGACAAAUCUUGAGCUAGAGGAGGGUUACAAGUGAAGUUGCUCAAGAAUUGGUGUCAGUACUGAUCUUAUUUACUAUUUCUUUUAAAGGUGUUGGGACAGAAGGUAAGUGUGCAUGCCAAAGCGUGCCAGAAAGUGCUAAUGAAAUUUGCUGACCCAACAAUUGGGAGGCAUUGCCAAUGUGAAAAAGGACUAAAACAUCAUGCAGAAAAAAUUGGACAACUGUGGGGACAGGAAUCAAGAAUUUUGUAGUUCUCUUUUAUUGGUCUAACUGUAUGUUUGGUAUAGAUGUAGGCAAACUUGGGUAUCAUCAUACCAUUUUCUCAGGCCUCUGUGCCCCCGUGCGUCCGGCCCCCUGGGCCCCCUGCCACUCCUCGUGUGGCCCUGUGUGCUGCCGCGGGCACUCGUCUCCCCUCCCCUCCCCCCCUCACCCUGCACCACCACUGGCUCCCAGGAACGGGGUGGGGAGGGGAGCUUGCAUGUGGUGGCAGCUGUCAACACCCACUGCCCUGCACUGCUGCUGGUCUGCAUCUGGCUGCAUACAACAUCCCCUGCCCCCCUAGCCUUCCCUCUCUCUCUCCUCCCUCCACACUGCCUCCCCUUCUCUGAUGGCUGUUGGGGCCAGGUGGCGGUGGUGGUGGGAGCAGGGGGCAGGGCGCGGUGGCAGCAGGGGGGACGCUGCCACCAGAAAUGCCCCCAUUCCUUGUCCUGCUCCCCUUUUUUCCUUUUUUUUCUCCACUCUUCCCUGCUGCCUCCCCCUCCCUGCUGGAGGGAGGGUGGGGACGGAGCACCACUACCCACCAUCCCAUGCCGCUGCUGUCUUCCAGGAGCAGGGUGGGGGGGAAGCUUGCCCUAUCGAUCCCACUGCCAGCACCCCAUGUUGCCGCCGCAUCUAGGGGGUGGUCUGCCCCACCCUCCUGGCCCUGCCCCUUGGAGGCGGAGGCACAGGGUGCUGGUGGCACAGCACGGGCCUUGUGCCCGCCCGCCCGCCCCCCCCCCCCCAUCUCCUCCAUCAUGGCAGUGCUCCACUGUGCCAGUCUGGUCUCGCUGUCCCCCUCUGCUUCCACGAAGCAGAGCUGGGGGGGCGGGGACAAAGCCAGCACUGCUGCGCUCUGCUCUGUCCCCUCAGUUCCAGCUGUCGUGGUGGCGUUCUGCUGUGUGUAUCUGUCUGUGCAGAGCACUCUGAUUGGUUGUUUCAGUCAGCAUUGUGAUUGGCUGCUGAGACAACCAGUCAGAGUGCAAAUAAAGUGUUAGGGACAGACAGACAGACUAAGGCUUUUAUUAUAUUAGAAUAUGAUUUAACUUUGAAAAGGGCAAAAUGCAGUCCAAUCAGGUGAGGUGUUUCUGGUAGAGUGAGGGAAGUAUUAGUGCUGCGGUACACAACACUGGUCAGGCGUCAUUUAGACUGCUAGAUACAGUGCCAUUCACCCAUGUUUAUGAAAGAUUAAUUCAAACCAGAACAGGUGCAGGUAAUUUAGGUACCAUAAUAAUCAGGGAAGUGGAGAACCUGUUACAGGGAAGAGGAUACUAGAAAAGUUGGUUUUGUUUAGCCUACCGAAAUAAAGGUUCAGGGGAUGUACAGUUGCUGUCUACGAAUAUACAGGAGGGGAGUACUCUGUUGGGAAAACAGCAGGGUACAUGUUGGACACCCCUGCGAAGUCUGGUGUGUUUCAUGGAGCUACAGAGUAGAGUUAGUGCACCCAGUUUGGUAUCACUUGAUCAAGGUGGUUCUGAAAUUCAGCCUCCUCCUAACAGCAUCUUAAAAUUGACAGAUGCUACUAAUGCUUUUCUGUGCUGAGGAUUAAGCCACAGUUCUGAGUAUGUCCAAAAUGGUCUCUAUUGCUUGACAUUUACCCCAUGGUACCUAAAGCCUUUGAGGUAAACAAAAUUAAAAGUGACAUUCAAAAGAGAAUUGUUGUCUCUAGAUAGAUGCAAGGCUACCACUUGUGAUGAUGCUUCAUAGACACUGACAGAGUAGCCAAAAGGCUUCUAGCUUGCCAGUGUUCAAGCUCAAGGGGAUGUGCAGUAGCCACAGAUUCUGACUUAUACCCAGUUAGUGUCAGUUCAAAUCUGACUGUUGGCAGAAAUUUUGGGGUGAGGAGGCAUUUUGCUACAAUCCAUUUUUUCUUCUUUUUGGAAGGUGGAAUAUAAUUCAAGUACAGCAAAACAUUCAGAAGUUACUUAAAAAUAUGAUAGAAAUGUAGGCCUGGGAAGGCUCCUCCAGAGCUCAUCACUUCCAUCCCCCUCCACUGAGGCAGGAUCAGAUAUACUAAUUUUCCUGCCAAAUGUUUGUCUAACCUAUUCUUAAAGACUUUCAAUGAUGGGGAUUCCAACUAUAAACACAGCAAAGCGCUGGAGCAAGUUGCUCAGGAAGGCUAUGGAAAGUUUCUUCUGAAUAUCCAGUCUAAAUUUUCUUUGCUACAAAUUAAGCCAAUUUUGGUUCUUCCCCAAUGGAUAUAAAAAACAAUUUAUCUUCAGUUUUCUAGAUUAAAUAAAUCCAAUUCCUCUAGCCUGUCCUCAGAGGUCAUGUUUCCCAAAACUCUUGCUUACCUUUGGACUCUUAAGUUUGUCUACAUUUUUGGUGCCUCAAACUGGAUGCAGUAUUCCAGCUGAGAGGCCUCAUCAGGAGAAUGGAAUAAAUACCUCCUAUAUCUUACAGACAACACUCCUGGUAAUUCAUCUGAGGAUGAAGAUUUGUCUUGUCUACAAAGGCAUCAUAUACAUAUAGUCAUACUAAAAUAGGACUGGAAGGGAGCUAGUUCAACCCCUGGUCAAAGUGAAAUCAGUCCGGUCUAAACUGUUCCAGGCAAAUGUUGAUUUAACCUGCAUUAAUAGGCUUCCAAUGACAGCAUUAUAAAUUUCUCCCUAAUACCUAGCCUGUAUCCCUUACUACAACUGAAGCCUGUUACUUUUUGUCCUGUCUUCUGUUGACCCAGAGAACAGUUGGACAGUUGAUCACCAUCCUGUUUAUUAAAAAAAACCCUUUUGUAUUUGAGGACUUAUCAAAUCUUCUUCAAUCUUCUCUUCUUCAGACACAAUUAUCCCUGCUUGUCUAGUCUUUCCUUAUAUGCCAUUUUUUUCUAUGUCUCCAGCCAUUCAUCUUGCUCAUCUGUGGUCCACAUCUUUCUUGAAAUGCAGUGCCCGGAACUGACACUUCCAGGUUGAGUCUUCUAACUACUAUGGAAUCCACAUGCUUGAAAUGUGAUCCUCACUGGAAUGCAACACUGAGCCAGGGAUUCCUAGGAUAGAUCUUUAAAAGAGCUGGUGCUUCUUAAUAUUACUGGAAUCUACUAAGAAGGUCCCAAUCACUCAAUAUGUACCUCAAACUGGAAUCAGUACUCCUGCUUCUGUGGGGAUGCAAUACAGAAGAUGGUAUUCUACAGGGAGUCAGGCCCUACAGAUGACUGAGCCUCCUGCUCAGGAUUUGGAAGUGGAAAGAGGAUGCCUAUCCUGGAUGUCACUUGGCUUCUCCCUUGCUCUGCCAUUUGGGCUAAGAUCUGAAGCCACUUGUCCUUCUUGGUGCAUCCAAACGUGUGUCCAGUAAUGGUGUAAUGUAGGGAGUGUUGAAUUCAUUUGGCCUCACAGGAUGGGUUUGGACAGCAGGGCUUCCUGCCAGUUGGGAGUGGGGGGAGGUGAGUGGCAUUGAUUCCCUGGGUUCCAAAGCCAUCCUGAAACGGCAGCUCCAGCAGCCACUGGGAUUAACACUACCACUGCAGGGACUCUGGCAGCCUCUGCAGUGAGCCCAGUGGGCCAGAUCUGGCCUGUGGAAAUGUGUGAUCCAGCCCAUGAGAAGCCCUGCAGGCUGUUCCACAGAAACAACACUGGCUAAGUUUUACAACCCUUUUCAUUUCCUUUCAAAUCAUGUCCUUACACACCUAACAGCAUGAAUGCAGGUAGUCCUGUUAGCCAUUGCAAUGGACAGAUCUAGAAAUUCAAAAAAGGAGGUGAGGGGGGCUGCAGGAAAUGCAACAGGGUGGCUGAAGCCCUACCCCCACAAGUGGGCUUAUUGUGCUGUGGCAGCAGCUGUCAAAUGAGUCCCCAAAGCUGAUAAGAUGCCCUCCCCAGCUAUCAGUACCUCUUCCUCUCCAGCACCGGCACCUCCUCUCCACCCUUUCCAGAGCAGUUGCCUAGGGUUUGCUUCCUGACAGAGGAAGGUGGGGGGUACUGCUACCACCACUGUCCCCAGCUGAGUAGAAGCAGGGGAAGCCCCAUGGGGUGCUACUACCCUGUUCCACCCAAGGGCUUCUAUGAGCAGCACCAUGGGGUGCUGGGCUUAGAGACAGUGGUAGCAAUUGGGUUCCCCCUUCCAGGCACUCCUGCUCCCUGUCCAAUUCCCCCAGAUAUCCCCUGCUGCCUAAGAGCAGGUGCUAGAAGCAGGGGGACCAGCAGCUGCCAGUGCUCUCGUUGGCCCAGCCCAGCACCCAACACCAACAUAGCCAUACCUUACAGCUGGAAUCCUGGGGAAAACAGGAAGGAGAGGGAGUAGCUACCUGCCUCUAUACCAUUCACACCCUUUUCCCAAAAACCCACCCGCCAAAAUCGGGGUGCAUAUCUUAAAUGGGAAAGCUGAUUUUUCUUUGCUGGAAUUCAAAGAGGAAUAGAAACAUGGAGACACUGCUCCAAGGUAGCUUCCAGCUUCGCUCAGGCAGCAAACAGAGGAGGAAUGUCCAGUGUUAACCCUUUCACAGCUGCUCUCAAAUUGGCAGCAGUUUUUGGCUGAGCAGCCAAACAGCCAAAAAACUAUUGCCAAUUUGCAUGCAGCUGUGAAUGGAUUAACAUGGGACUCUCCCCUGCUUGCUGUCCCAGAAAGAAGCUGGCAGCCAUCUUAAAGCACAGUCCCUCCAUGAAAAAUCUGGAAAAAUCUGCUUUUCCUAUAUGCAUUGUCUUAUUUGGGGGCAUGUAGUAUAUAAGAAAAUACAAUAAUUGCAAUACUUUUCCAUAAGAUCUAUAGUGUCUUUGCUGCUGCUUUUACAUGGAGCUGAGCAAAACUUGAUGGAAUCAUUUGUGUAAUAACUCUGCAAAGCAGUCUGUGCCAUUAUUACCCAGCAGAGCACUGCUUAGAAAAAUAGUAAAGUCACAAAAUCAAGCCCUCAAAAGUAAGAACACAACAGAAUUUAGGAAUUUGAGCCACCUUAAUUCAUACCCUUGUGCUUAUGAUAAUCUUUAAUUAUGUGAUAUCACACUGCUUAUCCACAAGACCAGCACCUCUAUCAGUGCACAGGAUGGAUGAUGCUCUCUCUGUAAGGCAGCUAUUUGACUUUUCCCUUCAUCUUUUUUAAAUGUGGCCCUGGGUCUUCUUUUACAGUAUAUUCUCCUAAAACUGCUAAAUACAGGAUUAGUAAUUUGUUUGUGGGAUGUUCUACAGUGCAAUAACUGAUGGCAUUACAGACUAAUAAAGUCAUCUUUGGAAAACUG